CCUGGAGAAAUCUCCAUCGCCUCCCCCUCCCUCCAGAAAAACCAAGAAUACCCAGGCUUUUCCAAACCACAUGCUGCAUGUGUUUGUGUGUGUACAGACAUAUAAACAUCCUCUUCCCAGCCCAGGCCAGAGUUUCUGAAGACAAGAAACGCGUCCCCUCCUCCCCCAGUGCACUUGUCUUUCCUCCCAGCCCCACGCUGCUGCAGAGUUGGCCCACUGCUUUUUUUCCCCACACUGUGUGGGCCUCCAUUCAAGAAACUCCAGGACCAAUGAGUGGGGAGCAGAUAGACCAGCAGACAGUAUGAAGCAGAAGCCCACCUCCCCCUGGCCCAGCCCUGGGGCAGCUGCUGCCUCCACUCCACUCGGCAGUUAAUGAGGCAUCCCUGUGUGAACACCUGGUCUUCCCAGCACCUACUGACGGAGCUCCCGAAGCCACAGACGAGCGGAGCGGAGCUGAAGUCACAGAAAGAAGAAACCAGUGGUGUGGAGAGAGGAUGAAGGGGCCUGUGCUGCUGUGUGUAGGCCUAGGGGGGCAGCUGAGACAAGCACUCAGUUCAGCCCAGGAAGAGGCAAGGACCUUUUCUAGGCUUUUAUUUAUGAAACGCUUAUUGAACUGAUACAGAGUUAGUGCCUGUCAUCAGCUGGUGGGGGGGGUUAGUGUGCAUCCCCCCACCCCCCAGUCCCCUCCCCACCAUGGGCACUGAAGCCG